UGGAUAGCUCAGUCGGUAGAGCAUGAGACUCUUAAUCUCAGGGUUUUGGGUUCGAGCCCCACAAUGGGUGAA